CUGUCCAGGACGUCCCUUCGGACUUGCAUCGCUUACCGCACAAACAGCACUUUGUGGCCCAAGGAGUCACAGCCAGGUUGGUGGAUUUUCUAGCAUAGUUAUGCACUUAAAGGAAAAGAAACAACCUUGUGGAUGAGAGACAACACAACUGACCCUGAAUGG